GACGUAGGGCGCGAGCGUUGUCCGGAUUUAUUGGGCGUAAAGAGCUCGUAGGCGGCUUGUUGCGUCGACCGUGAAAACCCGCGGCUUAACUGUGGGCUUGCGGUCGAUACGGGCGGGCUGGAGUUCGGUAGGGGAGACUGGAAUUCCUGGUGUAGCGGUGAAAUGCGCAGAUAUCAGGAGGAACACCGAUGGCGAAGGCAGGUCUCUGGGCCAUUACUGACACUGAGAAGCGAAAGCAUGGGGAGCGAACAGG
rnacentral:rRNA from 1 species